AUCCAAAAGAAAAAAUAAAAUAUUAUAAUCAUCCAACAACUAAAAAUAUUACAAUAAUCCAAUCUCAAUAAAUGAAAAAAUAAAAAUACUACAUCAUCCAAAAUCCGAACUCUUAAAAAACAAAUAUUAAGGUAGCAUGUUACAUUAUUUGAAUGUCCCAUAAAUUUUAAGCAGCAUUCCGACAACAACAUAAUAGAAAUAUUUAGAGAAGAAUAUGAAUAUUAGUGAUAAAGAGUUGUGCAAAUUGCAAUACAUUAUAUAUCAACCUAAAAGAAAAUAGAAAACGCACGAAUCACUUUGAUUUAGCCUUCAUUUGGUUUCAUUGAUCCGAAAACUCUACAAAAAAAAUAAUGAUUGAAUUAACAGUAAAAUUGAUAAAAACAAAUAAACUUAACAUAAUUCAUGGAAUAGCUUAUUUGCUAUAUCGCCGUCCUCCAAUUUGUUAUAUUCCUCCAUAUAGAAUAUCUCCAAGUUGGGAGACCAUUUAUGCCAAUUUUGAAUGCACACCACUACAUUAAAAACUAUGAAAGGGAUCGAGAAUUUUUCUUCCAACACUAAAAACAUUUUUUGAACCCACGUUGACGCUUGAAUUGCCAUAACAUUCCAUGCAAGUUUGGACAAAGUACCAUACUUAUGUCCAUUAACCCCCAUUCAAUUGAGAACAUCAAAUCAUUNAAAUGU
rnacentral:lncRNA from 1 species